AUUGAACGCUGGCGGAAUGCUUUACACAUGCAAGUCGAACGGUAGAGGGGGCAACCCCUCGAGAGUGGCGAACGGGUGAGUAAUAUAUCGGAACGUGCCCAGUCGUGGGGGAUAACGUAGCGAAAGUUACGCUAAUACCGCAUACGACCUAAGGAUGAUAGCGGGGGAUCGCAAGACCUCGCGCGAUUGGAGCGGCCGAUAUCAGAUUAGGUAGUUGGUGGGGUAAAGGCUCACCAAGCCAACGAUCUGUAGCUGGUCUGAGAGGACGACCAGCCACACUGGAACUGAGACACGGUCCAGACUCCUACGGGAGGCAGAGGUGGGGAAUUUUGGAAAAUGGACGAAAGUCUGAUCCAGCCAUUCCGCGUGCAGGAUGAAGGCCCUCGGGUUGUAAACUGCUUUUGUACGGAACGAAAAGGUCUCUCUUAAUACGGGGGGCUCAUGACGGUACCGUAAGAAUAAGCACCGGCUAACUACGUGCCAGCCGCCGCGGUAA
rnacentral:rRNA from 1 species